UGUAUAGUAAGCUAACAAAGCUUUUGGAUUCAUGCUCCUCUUAUAGAAGUUUAAAUCUUCUCUACACUU
rnacentral:tRNA from 3 species